CCUACGGGGGGCUGCAGUGAGGAAUAUUGGUCAAUGGGCGCGAGCCUGAACCAGCCAAGUAGCGUGAAGGAUGACUGCCCUACGGGGUGUAAACUUCGUUUAUAAAGGAAUAAAGUGAGGCACGUGUGCCGUUUUGUAUGUACUUUAUGAAUAAGGAUCGGCUAACUCCGUGCCAGCAGCCGCGGUAAUACGGAGGAUCCGAGCGUUAUCCGGAUUUAUUGGGUUUCAAGGGAGCGUAGAUGGGUUGUUAAGUCAGUGGUGAAAGUUUGCGGCGCAACCGUAAAAUUUCAAUUGAUACUGGCAGUCUUGCGUACAGUUGAGGUAGGCGGACUUCGUGGUGUAGCGG
rnacentral:rRNA from 1 species